rnacentral:lncRNA from 1 species
UGGGAAGCAGUGCCGUCCAACUUCAUUCACCGGCCAUGUGAGAUACUUGCGUAGUGCUAACUGCAAUACCGAUCCAAUUUCUUAAUUGGCCAUGUGAAAUCCGUUAGCUGCAGGCAGGUCCUCAUUUUCCAUGCAUAUUCAAGAGAGAAUGAAAAUCUUUGACCAACUCAAUGAAAAAAGAGGAGAGAAAAAUCAUUGACCCAAUUCAGCGUUUAUCUUUAAAUCAUAAUUUUCUUGUUGGUCGGCAAAUUUGAAGUUGAAGACCCACGCAUUAUGGACACAAUGGGUAUUUCAAAUUAGGUAUCAGCAAAAGCAUGGCCUAAAAUCAAGCCGAAUCUUUAGUCACUGGGCUACACAGAACGCAGGAAGCCCACAUAACAUGCACCGCCAGCUUAAGCUUUAAUGGAGCUUUCUAACAUACCGUGGUGCGCUUAGUAACUCCACUAUGGAUGUCUACUAAAAUUAUAUUGAUUUUGUUUUUAUUUAUUAAGUUUUUUAGCUUUUUAGUGCCUAUUUGGUAUAUUCUAUUUAAUGAUUAUAAG